rnacentral:rRNA from 1 species
GUGCCAGAGCCGCGGUAAUACGUAGGUGGCAAGCGUUAUCCGGAAUUAUUGGGCGUAAAGCGCGCGCAGGUGGUUUCUUAAGUCUGAUGUGAAAGCCCACGGCUCAACCGUGGAGGGUCAUUGGAAACUGGGAGACUUGAGUGCAGAAGAGGAAAGUGGAAUUCCAUGUGUAGCGGUGAAAUGCGUAGAGAUAUGGAGGAACACCAGUGGCGAAGGCGACUUUCUGGUCUGUAACUGACACUGAGGCGCGAAAGCGUGGGGAGCAAACAGGAUUAGAUAC